CUACCACGCGCACUCCAAAGCAACUCUUAUGUCCCAUGCAUAUCUGGUUAUUCUAAGCAUUGCAUGUACACUAAACAUAUAUUAAACUGAAAUGCAAAACUAUAAAAUACAAUUAUGCAAUCAUUAUAAUGAGCAAUCACUAAAUAUGAAUCUAAACAAAAUAAUAUCUUUAUCUGAGUCUAAAUUACAAUGUGGAAAAUGGCACUAACACAGAUGUAGAACAUAACGUAACGUGUUUACCUCCGUUUAUUAGCGUUCAAACAUUGUUUUCUCAUUAUAUCGUUGUAUUUGUCAACUUGUGUCUGUAAUUGUAACACAACAUUCAAAUACACUUCACCUGCAAUGUUGUCACUUUUUAAAACCCUUUAUCUAUACUGGCGUAAUUGUGCCAAGUGUAAGCAAAUGCCUACAGAGCCUGAGAAUGGAUGCUGCAGGGAGAUGCCACAGGUAACAAGAAGACUACUGCAGCUUCCAAACCAACCAACGUGCAUCAUCCGGGACUUUUAGCUGUGUGAUUGAAUGUGUUCUCACUACAGAAUGCAUUCAACAUCUAUAGAGCAGACUAUGGGCCUUAUGUCUAAGGGGAAUAUAGCAACGUUACAGGUAUUUGGUGUACAGAAGCUUUGUUAGCAGGUCUUGGGGCUUUCUGGGACAGAGAAUCUGGGUGGUCCUGCUCUUCUGCUCCAGAUGGUGCUUUGGAGGAUCUGUCUGACAGGCCACAUGAUGUAGCCUAGGACACUGUUCAGAU
ensembl:lncRNA